UUUACACAUAAUUUUCCUAACGGUAUUACACGUUAUAUACAGGCUCUCCCAUCCAACUCCUAUUCCGACACGUCCUCGUCGUGCAGAGUGGUAACAUGUGUCACCACAUAUCCACGCUUGGGUACACGGGCUUGACCCAACCCCUUGGGCGGAUGGUGGCACAUGGCGAACCAGGAGGGG
rnacentral:ribozyme from 1 species